CCUGAGUAAACCGGCGAACGGGUGAGUAACACGUAGGCAACUUACCUUGUGAACGGGAAUAACCCCGGGAAACCGGGACUAAUACCCGAUGAAAUCUCUUGCAGCAUGUAGAGAGAUCAAAAGUCCCAAAAGGACGUCACAAGAUGGGCCUGCGUCCCAUAAGAUAGUUGGCGGGGUAACGGCCCACCAAGUCAACGAUGGGUAGCUGGUCUGAGAGGACGAUCAGCCACACUGGAACUGAGACACGGUCCAGGCUUCUACGGAAGGCAGCAGUGAGGAAUAUUGCUCAAUGGGCGAAAGCCUGAAGCAGCGACGCCGCGUGAGGGAUGAAAUCCGUUAGGAUGUAAACCUCUUUUAUAAGGGAAGAAUGUUCCGAUUAUCGGAAUUGACGGUACCUUAUGAAUAAGCACCGGCCAACUACGUGCCAGCAGCCGCGGUAAUACGUAGGGUGCAAGCGUUGUCCGGAAUUACUGGGUGUAAAGGGUCCGCAGGCGGGCGAGCAAGUCGGUGGUGAAAGUCUUUGGCUCAACCAAAGAACUGCCUUCGAUACUGCUUGUCUUGAGUUCGAGAGAGGAUAAUGGAAUUCAUGGUGUAGCGGUGAAAUGCGUAGAGAUCAUGAAGAACACCAGUAGCGAAGGCGGUUAUCUGGCUCGAUACUGACGCUCAGGGACGAAAGCGUGGGUAGCAAACAGGAUUAGAUACCCUGGUAGUCC
rnacentral:rRNA from 1 species